CUAAGAAUAUUCCACAAUGGACGAAAGUCUGAUGGAGCGACGCCGCGUGGAUGAGGAAGGCCGAAAGGUUGUAAAAUCCUUUUGCGGAUGAAGAAUAAGUGGUGGAGGGAAUGCCAUCAUGAUGACGUUAGUCCGCGAAUAAGCCCCGGCUAAUUACGUGCCAGCAGCCGCGGUAACACGUAAGGGGCGAGCGUUGUUCGGAAUUAUUGGGCGUAAAGGGCGCGUAGGCGGUCGCGUAAGUCUGAUGUGAAAACCCCGGGCUCAACCCGGGAACUGCAUUGGAAACUGCGCAACUUGAGUCACGGGGGGGAAAUCGGAAUUCCUGGUGUAGGGGUGAAAUCUGUAGAUAUCAGGAAGAACACCGGUGGCGAAGGCGGAUUUCCAGCCGAUGACUGACGUCUGAGGCGCGAAAGUGCGGGGAGCAAACAGGAUUAGAUACCCUGGUAGUCCGCACUAUAAACGAUGCACACUAGGUGUCGGG
rnacentral:rRNA from 1 species